AACGAACGCUGGCGGCAUGCCUAACACAUGCAAGUCGAACGAGACCUUCGGGUCUAGUGGCGCACGGGUGCGUAACGCGUGGGAACCUGCCCUUAGGUUCGGAAUAACUCCCCGAAAGGGGUGCUAAUACCGGAUAAUGUCUUCGGACCAAAGAUUUAUCGCCUUUGGAGGGGCCCGCGUUGGAUUAGCUAGUUGGUAGGGUAAAAGCCUAUCAAGGCGACGAUCCAUAGCUGGUCUGAGAGGAUGAUCAGCCACACUGGGACUGAGACACGGCCCAGACUCCUACGGGAGGCAGCAGUGGGGAAUAUUGGACAAUGGGCGAAAGCCUGAUCCAGCAAGGCCGCGUGAGUGAUGAAGGCCUUAGAGUUGUAAAGCUCUUUUACCCGGGAUGAUAAUGACAGUACCGGGAGAAUAAGCUCCGGCUAACUCCGUG
rnacentral:rRNA from 1 species